UUGGGGCAGCUACACAUGCAAGUCGAGCGGCAGCGGGGGGAAGCUUGCUUUCCCGCCGGCGAGCGGCGGACGGGUGAGUAAUGUCUGGGAAACUGCCUGAUGGAGGGGGAUAACUACUGGAAACGGUAGCUAAUACCGCAUAACGUCUUCGGACCAAAGUGGGGGACCUUCGGGCCUCAUGCCAUCAGAUGUGCCCAGAUGGGAUUAGCUGGUUGGUGGGGUAACGGCUCACCAAGGCGACGAUCCCUAGCUGGUCUGAGAGGAUGACCAGCCACACUGGAACUGAGACACGGUCCAGACUCCUACGGGAGGCAGCAGUGGGGAAUAUUGCACAAUGGGCGCAAGCCUGAUGCAGCCAUGCCGCGUGUAUGAAGAAGGCCUUCGGGUUGUAAAGUACUUUCAGCGGGGAGGAAGGUGUUGAGGUUAAUAACCUCAGCAAUUGACGUUACCCGCAGAAGAAGCACCGGCUAACUCCGUGCACGCGG
rnacentral:rRNA from 1 species